AGUGAACGCUGGCGGUAGGCCUAACACAUGCAAGUCGAACGGCAGCACAGUAAGAGCUUGCUCUUACGGGUGGCGAGUGGCGGACGGGUGAGGAAUACAUCGGAAUCUACUUUUUCGUGGGGGAUAACGUAGGGAAACUUACGCUAAUACCGCAUACGACCUACGGGUGAAAGCAGGGGAUCUUCGGACCUUGCGCGAUUGAAUGCGCCGAUGUCGGAUUAGCUAGUUGGCGGGGUAAAGGCCCACCAAGGCGCCGAUCCGUAGCUGGUCUGAGAGGAUGAUCAGCCACACGGGAACUGAGACACGGUCCAGACUCCUACGGGAGGCAGCAGUGGGGAAUAUUGGACAAUGGGCGCAAGCCUGAUCCAGCCAUACCGCGUGGGUGAAGAAGGCCUUCGGGUUGUAAAGCCCUUUUGUUGGGAAAGAAAAGCAGCAGGUUAAUACCCCGCUGUUCUGACGGUACCCAAAGAAUAAGCACCGGCUAACUUCGUG
rnacentral:rRNA from 1 species